rnacentral:ncRNA from 1 species
AGCCCCAGCGCAAGGCGUAAAAAGGCGAGCGAGUCAGUGAGAGCAACUCACGUUAAUAAAGCGUA